GGCUGUCGUCAGCUCGUGUCGUGAGAUGUUGGGUUAAGUCCCGCAACGAGCGCAACCCUUGCCUUUAGUUGCCAUCAUUCAGUUGGGCACUCUAGAGGGACUGCCGGUGUCAAACCGGAGGAAGGUGGGAUGACGUCAAGUCCUCAUGGCCUUUAUGCCCAGGGCUACACACGUGCUACAAUGGGCGGUACAAAGAGCAGCGAGCUCGCGAGAGUAAGCAAAUCUCAAAAAGCCGUCCUCAGUUCGGAUUGGAGUCUGCAACUCGACUCCAUGAAGUUGGAAUCGCUAGUAAUCGCGGAUCAGCAUGCCGCGGUCGAAUACGUUCCGGGCCUU
rnacentral:rRNA from 1 species